UAAUAAAUUAAUAAAUUAGCAAAAUCCAAAUAUUAUUGAUUUAUAGAGGUUUUACUGUAUGUAGGGUUUUUUGGUCCUAAUGUAAUUAAAGCCAUAAUUUGGUCUUAUGGAGUUUUUAAUUAACUUUACAAAAGAAAUCAAUUUAGUCUUUAUGUAUAUUUAUGAAAUUUCCAUAAUUUGAUAAGAAAGUUGAAUAAAUCAAAUACCAUUUUCAUCCUAUAAAAUGGCUCUCACUACAUUGAUCAGAUACCAGUAUUUUUCUCAACAUCUAAAACAAUGGAGAAGAUCAUAUCAAUGAAGUUUGCCGUUGUUAUCUUCUUAGUUGUUACAUCCGUGAUGAGUAUUGAGGCAACAAGGUUAUUACCCGAAGAAACUCUUGAAACUAUGUUGCAGAGUGAAUCUUUGCCGCAUGGUGAGGAAAAAAUCCACUGCCAAAAAGGGUGUCAUGUAGAAUGUUUUCCCGAUCCUUUUAUUGCAAGAUGUUCUUGUGUGUGCAAACAUUAAUCUGAUCUUUUUUAGUCGAUAAUCACAUAUAAGAAUAUCGGUUUCUUUCUUAUAAUUAUAUCAAUAAACGACUUGGCCAGUUAUGUUAUUGUGUAAUGAUUUAUGUCCAGUUUUUUUUAUGAAUUUAAGAUGGUCAAUGGAUCUGUGUGGUAAAAAAAAACAGCUUGUAAAAUAUCCAUAGCUCUCCAGAAAAAAAUAUGGUCAGAUGGAGUCAGGUUUCAAGUUGUCAGACAAGAAGUUUCUAUCAAUUUGAGCAGCUUCGGUUAUUUUUAUUUCUUUAAUCCUCGACCACUAUGUUUAGUUACAUUUCUACAAAAGGGUUGUUAGUUCUCUGUAGAAAAAGCCAGAAGAGUUUAGUGCACAUCACAUGAACAAGUCUGAAAAACAUUUUUGGGUUGUGUUUGAUUCCAUCGUUCGUUACACACAACUGGGAUUUACACACAAGUUUAUAUCCUCUUGAACAAAUCUUUCUAAAAGAACAUGAAAAACUGUUGAUCUUUUUACAGGAAGAAACACUCUAAUGUAGAGCUAAUAUUCUCUUAGCACAGUCCUUGUAUUCUUCCUGGAUUUACUUUUUCUUUUUAUUCUUGGUUUCUUGUGAUGAUGGUUCAUGUUUUCUUAGUGGUUCAUAACAUUUCUAAGCCAGUGUGGGUUUUAGCUGAAUGUUUACACCUUUUAACUCUUUUUCAUGAGCAAUUUGCUAAAUGUGUCUUUGAUGAUAAGUUCCAUGUCGGUCCUUUUCCACAUUACAACUAUAUGGUAAAUGAAUUUGGUUUGAGAGAUUUUGGAUGGAUACUAUAAAUCAUGCAAAUAUGGUAUAACUGCGAUUCUGGACCCAAACUAAAUGACUUAUGCAAGAUUGAAUCUGUAUAUAUAUUUUUGGUAAAGUGUUGAAUUAUUAUGUCAGUUUCUAAUCUGUGACAGAAAUUACAAAGAUAAUUUAUAUCAUAGUGCGAAAUUUUAAAUUAAACAUCAAACCCUAAGAUGACAAUGAAACAAACCUGUAGUAAGAGCGGAACAAAGUCGAAAAGGCAGCUAAGCAAUGUCUUCGGACCAACGAAUCUGUAUAUAUUUUAAGCAUAAAAAUAUUGCAAUGAAGUUAACUGGUUAUAAGGUGUUUGAGUGUUUCUAUGCAAUACGUAAACAUCAAAACUAAUUUAAGCUAUCACAUCAGACUGCCUUGGUUUCCGUAAACAGUCGGUUCUGUGAGCCUGGACAGCUUAAAUUUUUGGUCAAGAUUUGCGAACUACUUACUGAUGAUGCAGCUAUUGGUAUCCAAGGCGUGGCCAAAGUUUAGAUGCCAGCAGUUGGAGCUUAUGGAAAGAUUAAGAAAAUUGGAGUGGUGAAAAUUGGUGAAAGAGGAAUAGAGUAACUAAAACAGGGGCUUUCCUCAUUGCUCAAAGUGUGAUAUAGCUUGAUUAUGCUCAAAAUCUUCGGUAGCUGCAGGUUCACCGUUUUAGAUGGCAGGCUUCUUUGAGAAUGAGGAAAUUGAUCCCUCUAUUUAGUUGAAACUUCGAGUGGUGGCUGUCAAGAUUUUUUGGGAUGACUAUUUAUUUAAAUAUGUAUAUUAUCCCCUAGAUUUCUAGUUAUAUAUUUAAAUAUAUAUAUAUAUAUAUAUAUAUGCAUAUUAAUAAAUUUUGGAUUUUUAUUGUAGUUAAAAUAUGUUAAAUUGGCUAAAAAUAAACAUGUUAAUUUAUUUAAUGAACCAAUAAAUUUAAAUAAAAUUCCAAUCAAAUUAAUAUCAACUAAAAAUUAUUGUACUAGUAUUGUUUCAGUUUUACAUUUGUAGGGUACACUCAAUAAAUAAUUUUGAUUAUAUAUAUAUAUAUAUAUAUAUAUAUACAAAAUUUUUAGAAACAUAAAUAAGAAAUUAGUUAUUACUAUAUAUAUUUCAAAAAUCUUUGCAAAAAUAUUUUUUGUAAAAAAAAAUUACAUUAAUGGUUUUGAUGUAUAAAUUAUUCGUAUUACCUUAUUAAAAAAAAUCUUUCAAAAAAAAAUAAACAUUUAUAAGUAAAUUAUAUAAAUUAUUAUUAAGUGAUGUCAUGUUAUAAAUUCUUAAAGACAUGUUAUCUUUUUUUUAGUGACAUGUUAUUUUUUUUAGUUAAAAGAAUAUGGUAAUGACACAUGUCACAAUCACUUAUCAAAUCAUGCGUAGGGAUAAUCACAAGAGGAUAAAAUUUUCUUCCAGAUUUGGGCUUAUGUUUUUUAUUAUAUGUGAUAAAUAAUCAAUUUAGUAUUUAUGUAUAUCUACAAACUCAGAUAAUAUAUUAUUUUGCAGAUUUUCUUUCCAUAUUUUGAUAAGAAAAUUAACUAAAUCAACAUCAUUUUCAUUCUAUAAAAUGGUUCCCACAACACUGAUCAGAAACCAUUAUUUUCUCAACAUUUAAAACAAUGGAAAAGAUAUCAAUGAAGUUUGCUCUUGUUAUUUUCUUAGUUGUUGCAUCCGUGAUGAGUAUUGAGGCAACACGGUUAUUAACCGAAGAAGCUCUUGAAACUGUUCUGCAUGGUGAAUCUUUGCCGCAUGGCGAGGAAAAAUUCCAUUUUGGUGUUCACUGCGAGAAAGGGUGCCAUGAGGAAUGUUAUCCCGAUCAAUUUAUUACAAGAUGUUUUUGUGUGUGCCCAUAAUCUGAUACUAUCCUGAAAUAAUAAUGUGCUUUUCUAAUAUUAAUGAAAAAACUGGUCCAGUUAUGUUCUAUCAUGUUAUUGUGUAAUGAUUUCUAUCCA